UACGGAGGGGGCUAGCGUUAUUCGGAAUUAUUGGGCGUAAAGGGCGCGUAGGCGGCCCGGUAAGUCAAAGGUGAAAUCCCUCGGCUCAACUGAGGAACUGCCUUUGAAACUGUCGGGCUUGAGGCCGGGAGGGGGUAGCGGAAUUCCCAGUGUAGCGGUGAAAUGCGUAGAUAUUGGGAGGAACACCGGUGACGAAGGCGGCUACCUGGACCGGUUCUGACGCUGAUGCGCGAAAGCGUGGGUAGCAAACAGG
rnacentral:rRNA from 1 species